rnacentral:misc_RNA from 1 species
CACGUAGGCACCAAGCGUUGUCCGGAUUUAUUGGGCGUAAAGAGCUCGUAGGCGGUUCAGUAAGUCGGGUGUGAAAACUCAGGGCUCAACCCUGAGAGGCCACUCGAUACUGCUGUGACUUGAGUACGGUAGGGGAGCGGGGAAUUCCUGGUGUAGCGGUGAAAUGCGCAGAUAUCAGGAGGAACACCAGUGGCGAAGGCGCCGCUCUGGGCCGUAACUGACGCUGAGGAGCGAAAGCGUGGGUAGCAAACAGG